GGGGGCCGAAUACUUUCGCAAGGCACUGUAUAUCCAUCCUGCCCUGCCUUUAUAAAGUCUUUGAAAGCCAAGUGAACAAACAGAUCACCGACCAUUUUGAAUCCCACCGUACCUUCUCCGUUAUGCAAUCUGGUAUCCAAGCUAGUCACGGGUGCACCUCAGGCAUGCUCAAGGUCCUAAACGAUAUCAUAACCACCAUUGAUAAAAGACAGUACUAUACUAUCGACCUGGCCAAGGCUUUCGACUCUGUCAAUCACCGUAUUCUUAUCGGCAGACUCAACAGCCUUGGUUUCUCUAAUGACUGCCUUGCCUGAUUUACUAACUACUUCUGAGAUAGAGUUCAGUGUGUCAAAUCGGGCAUGUUGUCCGGACCUCUGGCAGUCUCUAUUUGGCUGCCAAAGGAGUCAAUUCUCGGGCCGACUCUUUUCUCUGUAUUUAUCAAUGAUGUCGCUCCUGCUUCGGGUGAUUCUUUGAUCCACCUCUACGCAGACGACACCAUUCUGUGCCUUUCUUUGGACUCUGUGUUAACUAACCUCCAGACGAGCUUCAAUGCCAUACAACACUCCUUCCGUGGCCUCCAACUCCUCUUAAACGCUAGUAAAACUAAAUGCAUGCUCUUCAACCGAUCAAAUCAAAUCAAAUGUAUUUAUAUAGCCCUUCGUACAUCAGCUGAUAUCUCAAAGUGCUGUACAGAAACCCAGCCUAAAACCCCAAACAGCAAACAAUGCAGGUGUAAAAGCACAGUGGCUAGGAAAAACUCCCUAGAAAGGCCAAAACCUAGGAAGAAACCUAGAGAGGAACCGGGCUAUGUGGGGUGGCCAGUCCUCUUCUGGCUGUGCCGGGUAGAGAUUAUAACAGAACAUGACCAAGAUGUUCAAAUGUUCAUAAAUGACCAGCAUGGUCGAAUAAUAAUAAGGCAGAACAGUUUAAACUGGAGCAGCAGCACAGUCAGGUGGACUGGGGACAGCAAGGAGCCAUCAUGUCAGGUAGUCCUGGGGCACGGUCCUAGGGCUCAGGUCCUCCGAGAGAGAGAAAGAAAGAGAGAAUUAGAGAGAGCAUAUGUGGGGUGGCCAGUCCUCUUCUGGCUGUGCCGGGUGGAGAUUAUAACAGAACGUGGCCAAGAUGUUCAAAUGUUCAUAAAUGACCAGCAUGGUUGAAUAAUAGUAAGGCAGAACAGUUGAAACUGGAGCAGCAGCAUGGCCAGGUGGACUGGGGACAGCAAGGAGUCAUCAUGUCAGGUAGUCCUGGGGCAUGGUCCUAGGGCUCAGGUCCUCCGAGAGAGAGAAAGAAAGAGAGAAGGAGAGAAUUAGAGAACGCACACUUAGAUUCACACAGGACACCGAAUAGGACAGGAGAAGUACUCCAGAUAUAACAAACUGACCCUAGCCCCCCGACACAUAAACUACUGCAGCAUAAAUACUGGAGGCUGAGACAGGAGGGGUCAGGAGACACUGUGGCCCCAUCCGAGGACACCCCGGACAGGGCCAAACAGGAAGGAUAUAACCCCACCCACUUUGCCAAAGCACAGCCCCCACACCACUAGAGGGAUAUCUUCAACCACCAACUUACCAUCCUGAGACAAGGCCGAGUAUAGCCCACAAAGAUCUCCGCCACGGU